GCUAGCCGCAACACAAUGGAAAAACAGGGCAUCUUGACCCUCAGAGAAAACAGUGAGCAUUUUGAAGCAGAGCCCACCCCAGUUUCAUUGAGAUCUAGCUGCAACACAAUGGAAAAACAGGACAGCUUGACCCUAAGAGUCCACCCCAAAUUCAUUGAGAUCUAGCCGCAACACAAUGGGAAAACGGGACAUCUUGACCCACAGAGAAAACACUGAGUAUUUUGAACUAG